rnacentral:rRNA from 1 species
GACGUAGGAGGCGAGCGUUGUCCGGAUUCAUUGGGCGUAAAGAGCGCGCAGGCGGCUUGGUAAGUCGGAUGUGAAAUCCCGAGGCUCAACCUCGGGUCUGCAUCCGAUACUGCCCGGCUAGAGGUAGGUAGGGGAGAUCGGAAUUCCUGGUGUAGCGGUGAAAUGCGCAGAUAUCAGGAAGAACACCAAUGGCGAAGGCAGCUCUCUGGGACGGUACUGACGCUGAGACGCGAAAGCGUGGGGAGCGAACAGG